rnacentral:rRNA from 1 species
UUCCGCUUGAUCCUGCCGGACCCGACUGCUAUCAGAGUGGGACUAAGCCAUGCGAGUCGACAUAGCAAUAUGUGGCAUACGGCUCAGUAACACGUAGUCAACAUGCCCAGGGGACGUGGAUAACCUCGGGAAACUGAGGAUAAACCACGAUAGGUCAUCACUUCUGGAAUGGGUAAUGACUUAAAUCUAUAUGGCCCCUGGAUUGGACUGCGGCCGAUCAGGCUGUUGGUGAGGUAAUGGCCCACCAAACCUGUAACCGGUACGGGCUUUGAGAGAAGGAGCCCGGAGAUGGGCACUGAGACAAGGGCCCAGGCCCUAUGGGGCGCAGCAGGCGCGAAACCUCUGCAAUAGGCGAAAGCCUGACAGGGUUACUCUGAGUGAUGCCCGCUAAGGGUAUCUUUUGGCACCUCUAAAAAUGGUGCAGAAUAAGGGGUGGGCAAGUCUGGUGUCAGCCGCCGCGGUAAUACCAGCACCCCGAGUUGUCGGGACGAUUAUUGGGCCUAAAGCAUCCGUAGCCUGUUCUGCAAGUCCUCCGUUAAAUCCACCCGCUUAACGGAUGGGCUGCGGGGGAUACUGCAGAGCUAGGAGGCGGGAGAGGCAAACGGUACUCAGUGGGUAGGGGUAAAAUCCAUUGAUCUACUGAAGACCACCAGUGGCGAAGGCGGUUUGCCAGAACGCGCUCGACGGUGAGGGAUGAAAGCUGGGGGAGCAAACCGGAUUAGAUACCCGGGUAGUCCCAGCUGUAAACGAUGCAGACUCGGUGAUGGGGUUGUUUCCUUAAUUUCCCCACUGCCGUCCAGAAUCCCUUGGUGUCUGUCUGCCUGUGGUUUAUGGUCGG